UGAGUUGAAAAGAAGGUAAAAAAUGGUUAUUAAUCCCAAGAUUUUUCCAUUUUUUGGAAUAAGUUGAAUGGAUUCUUUUAAAAUUCUCACAAAACCAAAAAACUUCCAAAAAUCCAUUUUAUUUUCUUCUUCUAUAUGUUCUUGAAAUUUUUGGAUAAGUAUGAUUGAGGAGAUCUAGAUAGUGAUGAGUUUGGAUUUUUGUACUUUUAAUUCAAAAUCCAUACAUUUUAUAAGCAUUUGAAGAUUUUGUAAAUAUAAAGUUUUUUGAAGUAGUCAAUGGAAGUAAAAUUAUGUUGCUCUUAUUUUAUUUAUGAGGUGAUCUUUGUUUGAAGUAGUCCCUUUUAAGAUUACUAUAGGUUGAUUUAUGCAAAUAUCUGUAUAUAAAGUUACCAUAUAAAUUUUAUCUUUAUUUUUUUAAAAAGUGCAUAAAUAUAAUACUUGAUAAAUUAUUCUUUCGGAUAGUGUUAGAUUCAGUUUUAAUAUCUGUUUACAUAUUUUUUUAAUCUUAUAACAAAAUAUUAAACUAUUGUUUAACAUUUGUAAUUGUUGGGAUACAUACUAUUAACCAUAUGUUAAGAAAUAAUAUUUAUUAUAGAAUAAAUAUUUGCUCAAUUUUAAUAUAUCAUAUAUUCGUUUAUGGUGUCUGUUUACUUAUAUAAUAGAUGAUUUAGUGUGUAGAAUUUUAGCUUAUACACAGGAUUAAAUCAUCGGUUCUUAUAAGUAUAAAGUUUUUGGUUCACAAUCUAGGAUGGAAAUUGGACAUGUCAUCGGUACGAUUGUAGCACAAGAUUAUAUGUAAUUUAUCUUGAUUAUGGGAAGGGUAUAGUUCCAACUUCUUGUGCUAGUGCAUUUUGUAUGUAUUGAACGGGACCGAGUAGAGAUAGUUGUUUUAGAUUGGCUAACAAAAACUUAUUCUCUAAACUAUUAAAUGUACUUAUAUUCUUAGUCCUGAUAUAACUAUUAUGAUCUGUAUAUAUUAAUUAUCAUUUUGAUUUAUUAAAAGGUGAGAUUCUAAGAUGGAUGGGUCAAUAUACAUGGUAGAUUGGUUGAUGAUAAUAUAUAUAUAUAUUGGUGUCACGACCCAGACCAUCGUGAUUGACACCCACACUAACCCUCCGAUGGGAUAAGUUAGUUGAUGGAAUCCAUGUCUCGUUAUAGAGAUUGAUUGAUAUGCCUUUUGAGAAGCUUAUAAAUUUUCAUCGUGUCAAACCUUGCAGGUCAAUUUAUGAAUCCAACACAUGAAAUAAGUUAAGUAGUGCUCUAAAGGAAAUUAAUCAUUAAAUUAAAUUCAUCAGUAAUUUAAUUUAUUAAUUAGUAUCUGUAAUCUUAACAUGGAGAAUUACAUAAGUUUUUAAUGGCGAAUUUCAAAAUAUAAAUAGAGGAGUGCAAUUACGAAUGUCUAGUGGAAUGAUUUGUACUUUAUUAUGGUAAGAAUAAUUCAAAUUAAUUAUUUGUUUAGAAUUAUUUCCAUAAUAGGAAGCAUUAGUAAUUAAUUUUGUGGUCCCUACGGUGCCCAUAUUUAACUAGAACUCAGAAUCCUAUUUCUAAAGGGAAAAGGGGAGACAAGCGUGUUUUUUCUUAUAAAAAGAAAACAUACGUGUAUUGUUGACACCCAAUUUUGGACAUCCACAAUAUAGAUUAAUCAUCGAGUUUCUUCAAUCAAUGAGUUUUAUGAAAUUCAAAAUACUUUCAAGUUAUUUUUUUUUAAAAGUAAUUCUAUCAUUUUUAAUACUCCAUAAAUAUGUAUAUUUUUGCAAUCACGUUAUUUUAUAAAUAUUUGAAAAAUCAUCACAAAAGAUUUUACAUUUUAGUUAAAUAAUUUAUUAAUUUACUUUAAGUUAUAGUUAUAAUUUUGAGUUAAUUAGUUUUGUAAUUGAAUUAAUUAGUUUAUAAUUAAGUUAAUUUUUUUUUACUUCGUUAAGAUUGAGAAGCUCAUUAAUUAAUUUAUGUUAACUCAUCUUGUUUAAAUUUUAGCCGAAUUCUGCCGAUUAAAUUCAAUUGGUUACAAUUUAAAUUCAUUUGGCAUUUAUGUAAUUGCAAUACUAGCCACUUUCUCACCUUAUUCUUAAUUCAUUGUUGAGAUAAAAAAUUGGGCCAUUUACUUGCCAUAUUUCAGCAGCCCACUUCAAUGUUCUAAGCCCAUUUUUUCAAUUCCCAACCAAUUCCCAACCCAUCAAAUAAAUACCCAAUUCAAUUCCAUUUUCAGCUUUCUAAUAAGCCCAACCAUACCCAUAAACCCAAGCCCACAACAAUACAAUACAUAUAACAACAAUUCCCAAAAGACCCAGCAAACAAUACAUACAGCAGUACCAAAACGACCCCACUGCCCUGUGCGUCUCCUUCUUCAUGCGAGCAGAGAUUUACCAGAAAAUCCCAGCAAAUUCGGCGAGAAAUCAGCGCAAAUAAGCAGAUCCGUCACACCAACCGCGUCCCUCUUUUCCACAAUUUCAGAAUUUCCCAUCCCUUCCACUAUUGACUUGAAAGAAACAAAGAAUUCAAAUUUCAAAUAAAAAUUUUCAAUCCGUUUUGCCCCUCAAAUCAGCUCCUUUCUUCAUCUAUUUAAGAUCGUUUUUUUCAAUUAAACCAAAAAAAAAAAUGGAAAGGAAAAAAAAGGGGGAAAAAAAAAAGGAAGAAAGUUUCUGAUUUGGGUUCUUUAGCAAUAAUCGUUUUACACUUACGAAUUUUAUAUUUAGCUCUCUAAUUCUAAGUUCUGAGAAGUUCGCCACUCAGAUUCUCUUGGCUUGCUGUCCGUAUUAAGAUUUCGUGGUAGAAGAAUCGCUUCUCUCAAACUCGUUCGUUCCAGUCGCUGCCCUUUUAAAGGUAAACUUUCAUCGUCUUAUUUAAAUUCUUGUAUAUUCUUGAUAUAUUGAUUAUUUUGUUAUUGUUGUUAGCUGAUUACCCUGUUUUCCUUCUUAUUGAGCAGUUCGAUUUUUUUUAUUUUUUUUGUAAAUCUGAUUCUGUUUCUUUUUAAGUAUGUGAAUCUCCAUUUUGAUCAGCUUUUAUUUUGGCGUUUAAAGAGUCGGUAUUGGUAUGUUGUUUGCGAUUUUCUCGUAUAGGAGAUACUAUGGUUUGAGUUUAUUGGUUGUAUCUUUUGUUGUGCCGAAGUUUCAAUUCUUAGCUUGGAUUUUAGUCACCCGUUUCGUAGAAUCCGUUUUGCCUCGUGUUGAUUUUCACCUUCUAUUCGUAUUCUGGUGUACUAUCUGAUAUGUCAGUUUAGCUUUGGGAUAUAGCUUCUCAUUAUGCACAUGAUUCAUGUCCUAAUCUUUAUGUUUGAUCAAAUUUUAUUCCAUCUAAUUUACAUCAUGUUGAGAGCAAUAUGUGAUAUGUGUUUGAUAGGAUAAAUAUUGUAAUCCAUGUCGUGGCUAUUUUUGUUCAUGUUGGCAGUGUUUUUGGUCCAUGUAGUUUCUUUAUUUUGGUGUCAAUAGGCAUCCUUUGGUUGGUGGUUUUUUAGUUCAAAAUUUCAAUAUUAUUCAAGCAUAAAUCUGGUCAAGAAUAAGGAUGGUAUCUCUGCCCCUUUCUCAUUGUCAAUCUAGUUAAAAAUAAAAAUAAAUAGCCUAUCUUAUCUUGUUGUUAGAGCUCUUUGUUAUUCUCAUCUCAUAUGUACAAGAGAGCCAAGUACAAUUUGUAUUUAAAAUAUAUAUAUAU
rnacentral:lncRNA from 1 species